rnacentral:rRNA from 1 species
AUUGAACGAUGGCGGCAGGCCUAACACAUGAAAGUCGCGCGAGCGGCGGACGGGUGAGCAAUGUCUGGGGAACUGCGGGAUGGAGGGGGAGAACUACUGGAAACGGUAGCUAAUACCGCAUACCAUCAGAUGUGCCCAGCUGGGAGUAGCUAGUAGGGAGGGGAAUGGCGCACCGAGGCGACGAGCCCUAGCUGGUCUGAGAGGAGGACCAGCCACACUGGGACUGGGACACGGUCCAGACUCCGACGGUAGGCAGCAGUGGGGAAUAUUGCACAAUGGGCGCAAGCCUGAUGCAGCCAUGCCGCGUGUAUGAAGAAGGCCUUCGGGUUGUAAAGCACUUUCAGUGGGGAGGCGUUACCCGCAGAAGAAGCACCGGCUAACUCCGUGCCAGCAGCCGCGGUAAUAC